rnacentral:rRNA from 1 species
AUGCAGGUCGUCUCGGCGGUUAUACCUUCGAAGCGAGCAUUUCUAGAGCGGUUUGAGUUCAUCGUGGGAAGUAGUCAUUCACGUUUCGUAGUCGUUUCGGGGUCAUCGGUAGUGGGACUUGACGAAAAGCACGUCGACGCUAGCGGUAUAGACAUUCUCGGGGUACUUGUCGGUCCGGUCUUGGUGUAUGAUGUACAUGGCAAACAUAGUGGUACUCGGUGCCUGGCAAACAUAGUGGUACUCGUCGUUCGAGCGUCCGUGUGGUCUUGCCGGUGGGGUACUUGGCGCUUGUGGUCCAACUCCGAGGUCAUAGCCGUGUAG